rnacentral:lncRNA from 1 species
AUGUUCCAAUAUUGUGUGAUCUAUAAGAUGUUACCACGACAAAUACAAUAUACGUUUGUGGAGUUUGGUUUUGCCUCCGCUGGUGAGACAUUGAGAGAAGUAUUUAAUCAUGUGUGCCUUUUUUUCUCUCACUGCAAACGCACAUCAACCCAGCACUCCCAGCACUCCCAGUACACCAAGUACCACCAGCACUCCCAGCACUCCCAGUACACCGAGUACCACCAGCACUCCCAGCACUCCCAGUACACCGAGUACCACCAGCACUCCCAGUACACCGAGUACCACCAGCACUCCCAGCACUCCCAGUACACCGAGUACCACCAGCACUCCCAGUACACCAAGUACCACCAGCACUCCCAGCACUCCCAGUACACCGAGUACCACCAGCACUCCCAGUACACCGAGUACCACCAGCACUCCCAGUACACCGAGUACCACCAGCACUCCCAGCACUCCCAGUACACCGAGUACCACCAGCACUCCCAGCACUACCAGAACACCAAGUACCACCAGCACUCCCAGCACUACCAGUACACCAAGUACCACCAACACUCCCAGCACUCCCAGUACACCAAGUACCACCAGCACUCCCAGCACUCCCAGUACACCGAGUACCACCAGCACUCCCAGCACUACCAGAACACCAAGUACCACCAGCACUCCCAGCACUACCAGAACACCAAGUACCACCAGCACUCCCAGCACUCCCAGUACACCAAGUACCACCAGCACUUCCAACACUCCCAGUUCACCAAGUACCACCAGCACUACCAGAACAACCAGCACUCCCAGUACACCAAGUACCACCAGCACUACCAGAACAACCAGCACUCCCAGUACAACCAGAACAACCAGCACUCCCAGUACACCCAGCACUACCAGAACAACCAGCACUCCCAGUACAUCAAGUACCACCAGCACUACCAGAACAACCAGCACUCCCAGUACACCCAGCACUACCAGAACAACCAGCACUCCCAGCACACCCAGCACUACCAGUACCACCAGCACUCCCAGCACUCCCAGUACACCAAGUACCACCAGCACUCCCAGCACUACCAGAACAACCAGCACUCCCAGUACAACCAGCACUCCCAGUACACCAAGUACCACCAGCACUCCCAGCACUCCCAGUACAACCCAGCACUCCCAGUACACCAAGUACCACCAGCACUCCCAGUACACCCAGCACUACCAGAACAACCAGCACUCUGCCAGUGA